ACUGGCUGCCGGUCAGGAACGCGGACUCGGUCAACCCGGGAUCGACCAGGAAGCACCGGUAUUCGUCGGUGCCGCCGUUCGGCGCCGACGGCCGGUAC
rnacentral:tRNA from 1 species